UACAGAGGGUGCAAGCGUUGUCCGGAAUUAUUGGGCGUAAAGCGCGCGCAGGCGGUCCUUUAAGUCUGAUGUGAAAGCCCACGGCUCAACCGUGGAGGGUCAUUGGAAACGUGGGGACUUGAGUGCAGGAGAGAAGAGUGGAAUUCCACGUGUAGCGGUGAAAUGCGUAGAGAUGUGGAGGAACACCAGUGGCGAAGGCGACUCUUUGGCCUGUAACUGACGCUGAGGCGCGAAAGCGUGGGGAGCAAACAGG
rnacentral:rRNA from 1 species